rnacentral:rRNA from 1 species
AGAGUUUGAUCCUGGCUCAGGAUGAACGCUAGCUACAGGCUUAACACAUGCAAGUCGAGGGGCAGCAUGGUCUUAGCUUGCUAAGGCCGAUGGCGACCGGCGCACGGGUGAGUAACACGUAUCCAACCUGCCGUCUACUCUUGGACAGCCUUCUGAAAGGAAGAUUAAUACAAGAUGGCAUCAUGAGUCCGCAUGUUCACAUGAUUAAAGGUAUUCCGGUAGACGAUGGGGAUGCGUUCCAUUAGAUAGUAGGCGGGGUAACGGCCCACCUAGUCUUCGAUGGAUAGGGGUUCUGAGAGGAAGGUCCCCCACAUUGGAACUGAGACACGGUCCAAACUCCUACGGGAGGCAGCAGUGAGGAAUAUUGGUCAAUGGGCGAGAGCCUGAACCAGCCAAGUAGCGUGAAGGAUGACUGCCCUAUGGGUUGUAAACUUCUUUUAUAAAGGAAUAAAGUCGGGUAUGCAUACCCGUUUGCAUGUACUUUAUGAAUAAGGAUCGGCUAACUCCGUGCCAGCAGCCGCGGUAAUACGGAGGAUCCGAGCGUUAUCCGGAUUUAUUGGGUUUAAAGGGAGCGUAGAUGGAUGUUUAAGUCAGUUGUGAAAGUUUGCGGCUCAACCGUAAAAUUGCAGUUGAUACUGGAUAUCUUGAGUGCAGUUGAGGCAGGCGGAAUUCGUGGUGUAGCGGUGAAAUGCUUAGAUAUCACGAAGAACUCCGAUUGCGAAGGCAGCCUGCUAAGCUGCAACUGACAUUGAGGCUCGAAAGUGUGGGUAUCAAACAGGAUUAGAUACCCUGGUAGUCCACACGGUAAACGAUGAAUACUCGCUGUUUGCGAUAUACAGCAAGCGGCCAAGCGAAAGCGUUAAGUAUUCCACCUGGGGAGUACGCCGGCAACGGUGAAACUCAAAGGAAUUGACGGGGGCCCGCACAAGCGGAGGAACAUGUGGUUUAAUUCGAUGAUACGCGAGGAACCUUACCCGGGCUUAAAUUGCAGAUGAAUUACGGUGAAAGCCGUAAGCCGCAAGGCAUCUGUGAAGGUGCUGCAUGGUUGUCGUCAGCUCGUGCCGUGAGGUGUCGGCUUAAGUGCCAUAACGAGCGCAACCCUUGUUGUCAGUUACUAACAGGUCAUGCUGAGGACUCUGACAAGACUGCCAUCGUAAGAUGUGAGGAAGGUGGGGAUGACGUCAAAUCAGCACGGCCCUUACGUCCGGGGCUACACACGUGUUACAAUGGGGGGUACAGAGGGCCGCUACCACGCGAGUGGAUGCCAAUCCCCAAAACCUCUCUCAGUUCGGACUGGAGUCUGCAACCCGACUCCACGAAGCUGGAUUCGCUAGUAAUCGCGCAUCAGCCACGGCGCGGUGAAUACGUUCCCGGGCCUUGUACACACCGCCCGUCAAGCCAUGAAAGCCGGGGGUACCUGAAGUGCGUAACCGCAAGGAGCGCCCUAGGGUAAAACUGGUGAUUGGGGCUAAGUCGUAACAAGGUAGCCGUACCGGAAGGUGCGGCUG